AUUGAACGCUAGCGGGAUGCUUUACACAUGCAAGUCGAACGAGUGGCGGACGGGUGAGUAGUAUAUCGGAACGUGCCCAGUAGCGGGGGAUAACUACUCGAAAUAGUGGCUGAUACCGCAUCCUAUUGGAGCCGCCGAUAUCGAAUUAGCUAGUGUGUGGGGUAAAGGCUCACCAAGGCAACGAUCCGUAGCUGGUUUGAGAGGAAGACCAGCCACACUGGGACUGAGACACGGCCCAGACUCCUACGGGAGGCAGCAGUGGGGAAUUUUGGACAAUGGGGGAAACCCUGAUGCAGCCAUCCCGCGUGUAUGAGAAGGCCUUCGGGUUGUAAAGUACUUUUGUCAGAGAAGCGGUAUCUGCAGAAUAAGCACCGGCUAACUACGUGCCAGCAGCCGCGGUAAUAC
rnacentral:rRNA from 1 species